rnacentral:rRNA from 1 species
UACGUAGGGUGCAAGCGUUGUCCGGAAUUAUUGGGCGUAAAGAGCUUGUAGGCGGUUUGUCGCGUCUGCUGUGAAAAUCCGGGGCUCAACCCCGGACUUGCAGUGGGUACGGGCAGACUUGAGUUCGGUAGGGGAGACUGGAAUUCCUGGUGUAGCGGUGAAAUGCGCAGAUAUCAGGAGGAACACCGGUGGCGAAGGCGGGUCUCUGGGCCGAUACUGACGCUGAGGAGCGAAAGCGUGGGGAGCGAACAGG